AUCCUCGGUCUAAUCCCAAAGCAGUCCUCCUAAAUUACACGUCUCUCUUCUUCCCUUUCCCCGCUAUGAUCUUCACCUUCACGUCUCCUCUGUUUCAAUUUCAUUUUUCUCCUUAUAAAAAACCCACCCACCUGUCAUUUCCUCUUCAUUGCUAAAGUUAGCUGCUUUGUUUCACUGACGCUGUUUGGUUGCAAAGCAAAUUUUCAGGAAACCAAGAGAUGAGUUUCGCAAACAAAGAGUACGAGUUUUUGUGUGAGAUCGGGUUGAGUUCUCGGACUCUGGGAAGUUACGUUAAUGGUACCUGGAAAGGAAAUGGCCCUGUUGUCUCCUCUUUGAAUCCUGCAAAUAACCAG